CCCAUCUCACUCUAUGCAGACCACUUUUCCUGCCGCAGGUGUACUUCUGCAACACCAAUUAAUCUUUCCUCCUCUGAAUUUUGAAACUGCCAAAGUUUCUCCUCACUGUCAGCAGAUAUCUUAGAAACCUCAUUUUCAACCUGCUUUCCAAGAACAGCAGCAAUUAUUCUUAAUCAUUAUUUAUUAUAAUUUGAUGCUUCAGAGAGAUUAUUAUGUAUUAUGUGUGUCCUUCCUAAUUUCUUUCUUUUUUUUUUUUUAACUGUAAGUGAGAAUCAAUGUAAGGGAUUGAUAUCAAGCUUUGGGUAGCUAUUACCAUGACUAGGGUUAUCUAACCUUAUUACAUUGAUUGUAGUUUCUCUUCUGUAUCUUCCAGUGAACCCUCAAAUUGAUUUUAAAAUGCUGCUAUUGACCUAAAGAUUCUUAGCAACAGGAGGUUUAAAUGCUUUUCAUUGUUAUGCUUCCUGCCUAUAAUACCAGUUAUGCUUCAAAGUUUGCAGUAGGGAACUGCAUCUCACUGUAGAUUUUAAUUCAGAUCCCAGGGCUCCAUGUCUCCUAGAGAUACAGAUUGGUGAAAAGGGCUCCCAUCACUCAGCUCCAACUCUCACACCCAGAAGAGAUUCUCUUUCCCAGACUCCUGCCAGACAUGCAUUCAGCUUCCACUUGAUUGAUAUCUGGGAGCUGCUGGAAGCAGGAGAAUACCUAGAACCCAGGGCUCGAAGAACGGUUGAAGCCCUUAUUUUGCUAUCAGCUAAUUUUGUGGGUUAGAGUAUAAUGCCCCAUCUAUUGAAGGUUUAGUCUCUCUAUUUGCAAAAUCAGAAUAUUGAUAUCUCAGGAAAAGUAGUGUCUAUUUCAAUAGGUCAGUGCUUCAAAAGGAUUAAAUGAAAUGCCUACUUCACAGCUAUGGAUAUGAAUGUGUGCUUGUGUUUGUGAGCAUGCUAUAUGAAAGUACAUCUCCAAGAUCCUAAGCUUAUACUUCCACUUUACAAAUUUUUUUUCCCCAGGACCUCUAAGAAGUCAUGUAGCUCAAAUCUUUACGCCUUCAAGCUGUGCCUGGCAUAUAGCCGGUCCCAUUAUAAGAGCUGUGGCUCUUCAUCCUCCCCUUCCUUCCUUUUAUUCUUCCUUUACUUACUUAUUUAUUUUGGCCUUGCCUGAAGCAUGGAGAAUUGUCCAGCAAGGGAUCAAACCCACACCACAGCAGUGACCUGAGCCACAGCAGUGGCAACACCAGAUCCUUAACCGCUAGUCCACUAUGGAACUCCAUUCUUCCUUUGAUCUUAUAAUAGAAGAAUGCACUUAGAGUGACUAGAACCCUUUGGUAGACAGAGGAAUAAACCCAACUUAAUCCAGCUUGAACAAAAAAGAAAAAUAUUCACAGUGCAUACUCUCAGAGCGGAACUGCACUGCAGGAACUGGGAUAGCGGCCCAACCAACCUCACCAUUUUCUCACGUCAGAGUAAUGGGAUCAAUUAUUUUCUUAUGCUGCUUCAGAUUUUCUUUCUUCACAUGAUAGAAAAUAUGUAUUCCUAAGUUUUUCACCUUUAAGACUCAAUACCAGGGAUCUGCAUCCAUUUAAAAUCAGUUCAAGGCACUCAUUGUCCCCAAGAGGAACAGUACCAAUAAGCCACUGCAUCAAAUGACAACUGCUCUUGGAGUCACCGUGUUUAUGCAAGGGGACAGGGAUGAGGAGACUCUUUUCAAAAGAAAGAUGAGUGACAAAAAACCCUGUAGAGGUUCACUCUAUAACUAAAUGGUUCUUGAAAGUUCUUAUACUGCAUUUCUCUUUCUACCAGUCUGAUUUUGUUUUCCAAUUAUGUUAUAUACAAGUCAACAUGACGGGCCUCUUAAAAAUCUAUUUCUUGGAGUUCCCUUUGUGGCUCAGUGGUUAACAAAUCCUACUAGGAUCCAUGAAGAUGUGGGUUCGAUCCCUGGCCUCACUCACUGGGUUAAGGAUCCAGUGUUGCUGUGAGCUGUGGUGUAAGUCACAGAUAUGGUUCAGAUCCCACGUUGCUGUGGCUGUGGCAAAGGCCAGUAGCUGUAGCUCUGAUUUGACCCCUAGCCUGGGAACCUACACAGGCCACAGAUGCAGCCCUAAAAAGCAAAAUAAUAAUACUACUAAUAAAUAAAAUCUUUUUUUUUUCAGAUUUUGAUAUAUUUUAAAGCCUGAAUACUGCAUGCACUUUGAUCAUGCUACAGAUUGAAUUAUUGAAAUUUCACAGUGGUUUUUGUUUUUGUUUUUUAAAUGAUUCUGGCAUUGGGCCUGCCUUUGUUGUCCUCUGCUCCAGUACCCUCUCUGGAGAGUAUAUGUAGCCCUGUGUUGCUCAGAGUUGCUCAGGCCCAUCUGUCUGCCUGCUGACUAUGAAAAUCCUGCUGUCAUCCUGGGGUCAUUCCAUUCCACCCUUGUCUCUACAUGGGGAGGUCAAGGAAAGGGUCAGAAGCCAUGGCCCACAGAGAGCUGUGCAACUCCCUGCAAGUUAAAUAACCUCUCUGUGGCUAAUGCUCACAUCUUCAAAAUAAGAGAAGAAGGAGACAUGUGCUUGUCCCAUUUUUUUUUUCCAGAAAUGUUAAGUGCUAGCCUCACUCUAAUCCUUCAAAAUAGAUAUUAUGUGUUGUAAAUGCAUUGUACUUAGAAAUGGAGGAAUCACCAGCUACAGAGUGGAAAGAGUUCUAGACUUCAGUCAGAAGGUCUGGAUUCAUGUUUCAGUUCUGCUGCUUAUCCCUGUAAACUGGAACCAUUAUUUUAUCUCUCUAAUUUCAGUUUUUCUGUAAAGUGAAUAUAAGCAUACCUUCCUGCAUGGAAGGCUUGUGAGAUUAAAAGAUAAGAUUUUAAGCAGCUGGCACAAUAACUGUCAUAUAGUAGAUGGUUAACAACUGUAGUGUGUCUAUGUGUGUGUGAUUAUUUAUUAAUGCAAAAGACUAACAGUUAUUAAGGAAGAAGCCCUGGUUCCUCCUGACCUUAGCACAGCCCUGCAGAGUUGCCUAUGUGAGAAGUAUUCAACUGCGAACCAACACGUCUGAAUUCAUAGCAUUUGAAUCUGUAACCUCUCACAUGCAGCUCGUAUUUGAAAUGGCUGCUGUUUUCCUUUAUCCGUACGAGCAUAAUGCGUAUGACGCAUCUGACCAGAUCCACACUAGCAGUCUCUGUCCUGUAUCUCUUUCUGCCAAUGUGGAAUAUGAGUACUAUGUACGGGAAUUCCUUAUACAAGUUGCUUAUGGGGAUCAACUUGUCUACGAAGUCUUCAUCUUCGAGGAAUCCAAAGUGAACUUUGGGUAUAUCUUAGAACUGUCCUAUAAGCCAUCACAAACCCAAAGUAUGGCCCAAAUGUGAUAAACAUGUAUUUAGGACUGUUCUCCUGAUGCAAUGACAGAUAGGUGGUUGUUUUUCUCAAUUUAUAUAAACUUAUAAAACUUAUUAUUUGUUAAUUAGAUGAUGGAUUUACUUAUCAAAUAUUGACAGAAAGAUUGGAAGAAUGAUAUUUCAAGUUAUCCAGUUGAAUAUUAAUUGAUCUGUCAACAAUCUAUCAUGCCACCCGAGUCCUUCCCUGGUACUUUACAUGCAUUUUUGUCUUUAAUCACCACAAUAGGAUCUAUGCUAUAGAAAGUGUUUCCACUGAUAAAGAAAGGGGAGAAUGGUUAAAUUUAGAAUGCUUAGAAAUGCUGGCCCAAGGUGAGAAAGACAGUGAGUGGCAGAGCCACUUUUUAUGAUCUGUCUGGAUCCAGAACUCUUUCUUUUUUAAAUUUUAUUGGAGUGUAAUUGACUUACAAAAAUGUGUUCGUUUCAGGUACACAGCAAAGUAAAUCAGUUAUCCAUACACGCAUACACACACACAUACAUAUAUAAAUGCAUUCCUUUCAGAUUAUUUUCCCAUAUAGGUAUUUAGUAUUGAGUAGAUUUUCCAGUCACAUACAGUAAGUCCUUGUUACUUGUCUAUUUUGUACAUAGUAUUGUGUGUAUAUGUCAAUCCCAACCUAUCUCUGAGGUUGGAUCUAGAAUUCUGAACCACCACAUUAAACAGUAUCGCCUUCUAUCUCUUGCAUUAUGAUAUGGCUUGAGGCUACACCACCUUAAAAAAAAAAAGAAUUAUUAUUUGAAUGAGUUUAGAAUUUAGAACUGUGCUAUUCACGGUAGCAUAUUGAAUAACUGAAAUCUUUCUAAUGCAAAUUGAGACAUGCUGUAAGUGCAAUGUCCACACUAGGCUUCAAAAACUUUGUACAAAAAAAGCAAUGUAUCUCAUUUUAUAUUGAUGACUUAUUGAAACAAUAAUAUUAGCUGUAUAAGAUAUAUUACUAAAAUUAAUUCUACCUAUUUUUCCUUUUAAUGUGGCUAUUGGAAAAUUUUAAAUUCCAUGUGUGCCUUGCACUGUUAUCUCUGCAUUUGACAGGGUCAGCUGUGAAGACAAAGUUAACAGGUAAUUUUAAUAUAGUUUUAUUAGCAUUUCAAAAGUCAUGAGCCCAUAGGAAAACUCUGAAGAACCAUGAAAUUUUCCUGAGAGAGGUGUGAGCUCCAAAUUUGUAGUUGUGACAGAGAUAAAAAGAAGCAAAAGGUAUUUCAGGAAGAGAAGAUGAAAUAUUUCACUUGGGAAGUGAGAAAUAGCCUAGCACAUUCAGGGAACAUGGAUACAUUCAGUAAAAGGCAAAGAGUAGGAAGAAGAAAGUGUCAAAUGCCUCUGGGAUCAUACAAGGAGGGUUUUCAUCAUGAAAGACUUCAAGUUAUUCAGAACUGGGAAUUUUUACUAUUUAAAAAACCCACUUGUAUCUGCAUAAGAACACAUUAUCCUUUAAGUCAAUGCUGGCCCUUUGGUCACUGCCAACCCUGACCUUAGUAAAUAAUAGGAAGCACAGCUCCUAGUGGUUGAUUGAUUAGAGUUUUUAGUUUGCACAAAUCAUAUCCUCUGCCUUUGGUCACAGACAUAUCUCAGGUCUAAUUGUCUAAAAACUAUAUGCAAGUGACCCAAGCAAAAGUACCUUCUUAAAUCAGUCCCUCCAAACCCUAUUACAAUUGACAUAUGUAUAAAUGUUGGAAUGACUAUUGUAUAUAACGAAUGACUCAAUCAACCAAUCAAUCAAUGCAUUAAAAUAUAUCUCUAUCAUGAACUUGUGAAGUGUCCUUGGGCAAGAAACUGAUUUUGGAGGGACUUUUUUUAUUUAUUUAGAAUCUAUAUGGCUUUAAAAUUUCCUUCUAAGUUUUACUAUUCUGUGACCCCAUGCAUUUAGGUAUAUAAACUUCCAAGAAUCUCUUUCCUCUUUUCUACAACUCAGUAAUUUUAAAAAAGUCAAAGAAAAGCAGUAGCAGCUAUGCACCUAUGUGUCAAAUUCUAAAUCUAUUCAACAAUACAAUUAUGCCAAGGGUUUUUCUUCUUUUAUUUGAUUCAGAAUUCCAUCCUUUCAUGAGCAAAUAAACAAUGCAUCUACCUGGUUUUCAGUAUGUAAGAAUAUAAUUAUAUGUCCCUUGAAGACAUUUAGAUAUUUAAAAAUGAAGAGAGAGAAUGGAGCCAUGAAGU
rnacentral:lncRNA from 1 species